UUCUUUUUGCUGCUGAUUUCUACGCAAAUCCUUCAGACUGUCGUCAUUUUUUCAGACGAAAUUUACAGAUUGCUACAGACUGGUCUGCUGUUAACAUAUUCUGUUUUUGUUGUGUUGGUUGCUUAUUUUGAUGAAACUAUGGAUAGUAUCGGAGGGUAUUUGCCAUGGAAGAUUGAAAAUACAGUAACCCAACAUCAGCGUAAGUAGAAUUUAAGUUUGCUAUAGUACCUAAG
rnacentral:lncRNA from 1 species